rnacentral:rRNA from 1 species
GGGGCAGAGAGAACCGGGGAGUAAAAAAGAGAGGGGGUGGAACUAGGUUUAGACUGAGCCCGAGAGGGGAGCGAGGAGGGUACCUUGCUGACAGGUGGUAGCGCAGAGGAGUGGCGGGGUGGAGAGAGGGAAGUGAUGACGGGGUAGCUCGAUCGCAGGUUCCUGGCAUCGACGCCGGCACCGCCGGAACGGAUGCUCCUAGUAGGCUAGACGCUCGCGCUGGCGCCCUACCUGCCCCUCCUUUGCCGGCUGCCGCCUCUGCCUCCUCGUGCAGGUCGCGUAGGAGGACCGGUAGCGAUCGAAGCGGGUGUUCCCAGUCUCUCGGCACGGAGGUCGAUGAUCGUGACUUCAUUUAACUGCCACACACGUAAUCGAUUCACACGACGUACCUAAUCGAUGGAGGGAGAGACGGGGGCGGUUUUUUCGAUGGAGGGAGAGACGGGGGCGUUUUUUCGAUGGAGGGGUAGACGUACUCAACACACACGACGUACCUAAUCGACCUUACCUCUACUCCUAGAGACGUAACUGUGUUGUAUCACCUAAUUCGAGAAGGAAUAACAACACAAAAUAAAAAAAUAAAAAACAAAACCAAGAUCAAGAUAACUAAGUACGACUACAACAUGAUGAUACUAAAAGGGUAGUUAAUACGGCGUUCCCACCCUCCUGGUCCCCUCCCCUUGCGCUGUCUGAACCCAAGCAGCGGAAGGCUUAGUGGGACUCUCCUCGCUGCGCAGCGAAGUAUUGUGAUUUUGCCAAGUAGGUAAGUCACAAUAUGAUGAAGGUGUAUCUUUGAUAUCCUACAAAGAGAUUUUUUUGAUAUCCUACGUUUUGGUACUGUUUCCGUGAUUCGGCAGUGUAUUCUAACGACUUGACCUCGUUAAUGCGA